rnacentral:rRNA from 1 species
AUGGUUCGAAUUAGAAUUCCACCAUCAAGGGUUCGUGGCCAGCAUGCCCUACUACUUUGGCAAAUGAUGCAGGAGCUUGGGGCACCAUGUCCUCAAUUCUUUGAAGAGAUGCCAGAUGAUGGAACACACUCCUACAGGCGUGUAGUUGUGGUGCUCAGCGGUGUUCCAUCAGACAUGGACUUCUAUGUGGAGCUCUCCACAAUGCAGCGGUCAUCCGAUGGCACUCUACCCAUGCAGGAGGUUGCCAAGGAAGCUAUGCUUGGACUACGAGCACGCUUUGGAGAGAAACUGCGCACCACCGGAUACCGAGACUUGCCAGCACUUGAUUCUGGGGGUUUGGGGCAGAACCAUCAGCAAGGACCUAGAGGAGCAAGCCUGGGUGUUGGGUCUUCAUCAGCUCAGCCUACACCUAUCGCUUCAACAGUUAGCACCACUUCUAGUAUGACAAUGAUUGCUGAUACGAUGAUGUAUCAUACAAUGAAGGAGGAGCUUAUUAGACACCAGGAAGCAACCCAAUUCUGGUAUCAAUGCUAUCAGAUGAGCGAACAUGAUAGGGUUGUGCUUCAGGGAGCACUAAAUGCUAUGCCUGGAGGUCCUCUUAAUCCUAUAAUAGUACCAGGUGAUGUUCAAGAGGAAGAAGAGGAGGAUCCAGAGGAAGUAGAACUAGAGGAACAGGAAGAAGUUGAGGGAGUAGAGAACCCAAAUGAGCCACUAGUUCCACCCUCACCAAACGUACCACCUACACCACCCCAGCCGCUACCUGAACAUAUAGUUGAACCAGAACCAGCCCUACAGCCAGAUAUAGAGCAGCAGCAGCUACCCCACUUCCCUAUUCCACGACCACACCAACCUGACUUUAUCCACCCACACAUGAGUGUCAGCUCGAGGGAGUACAGGGAGGCUGCUACCUAUGCAAGGGUACUUGGGCUUGGCGCGAGUGACAGUGGCGGAAGCAAUUGA